rnacentral:rRNA from 1 species
GACAGAGGGUGCAAACGUUGCUCGGAAUCACUGGGCGUAAAGGGCGUGUAGGCGGGAAGGAAAGUCAGAUGUGAAAUCCCUGGGCUCAACCCAGGAACUGCAUUUGAAACUCCCUUUCUUGAGUACCGGAGAGGAAGGUGGAAUUCCUGGUGUAGAGGUGAAAUUCGUAGAUAUCAGGAGGAACACCGGUGGCGAAGGCGGCCUUCUGGACGGUAACUGACGCUGAGACGCGAAAGCGUGGGGAGCAAACAGG